rnacentral:rRNA from 1 species
CAGUAGCCGCGGUAAUACGUAGGUGGCAAGCGUUGUCCGGAAUUAUUGGGCGUAAGCGCGCGCAGGUGGUUUAAUAAGUCUGAUGUGAAAGCCCACGGCUCAACCGUGGAGGGUCAUUGGAAACUGUUAAACUUGAGUGCAGGAGAGAAAGGUGGAAUUCCUAGUGUAGCGGUGAAAUGCGUAGAGAUUAGGAGGAACACCAGUGGCGAAGGCGGCUUUUUGGCCUGUAACUGACACUGAGGCGCGAAAGCGUGGGGAGCAAACAGGAUUAGAUACCCCCGUAGUCCCUGUCUCUUAUACA